rnacentral:rRNA from 1 species
AACGCGAAGAACCUUACCUGGGCUCGAAAUGCUACGGACCAGCUUAUGAAAGUUUGCCUUCCCGCAAGGGACCGUAGUAUAGGUGCUGCAUGGCUGUCGUCAGCUCGUGCCGUGAGGUGUUUGGUUAAGUCCAGCAACGAGCGCAACCCUUAUCGUUAGUUGCCAACGCGUGAAGGCGGGAACUCUAACGAGACUGCCUGGGUUAACCAGGAGGAAGGUGAGGAUGACGUCAAGUCCGCAUGGCCUUUAUGUCCAGGGCUACACACGUGCUACAAUGGUCGGUACAGAAGGCGGCAAAACCGUAAGGCGAAGCAAAUCCUUUAAAACCGAUCUCAGUUCAGAUUGUAGACUGCAACUCGUCUACAUGAAGUUGGAAUUGCUAGUAAUGGCGUGUCAGCAACAACGCCGUGAAUACGUUCCCGGGCCUUGUACACACCGCAUAC